rnacentral:rRNA from 1 species
AACGUAGGAGACAACCGUUAUCCGGAGUUACUGGGCGUAAAGGGCGUGUAGGUGGUUUUGUAAGUCUGGCGUGAAAUUUUUCGGCUUAACCGGGAAAGGUCGUCGGAUACUGCAGGACUAGAGGACGGUAGAGGCGUGUGGAAUUCCGGGUGUAGUGGUGAAAUGCGUAGAGAUCCGGAGGAACACCAGUGGCGAAGGCGACACGCUGGGCCGUACCUGACACUGAUGCGCGACAGCAUGGGGAGCAAACAGG